rnacentral:tRNA from 1 species
ACCAGCAUGGUGUAGUAGUUAGAGCAUUGGACUAUGACUCUAGAGACCAGGGUUCAAAUCCCAGCUUGGUC